GUCUCCGAAGCUUUAGCGGAUGAGCACCUGCCUUUUAAGCAGGGGAAGUGGGAUCGUUACCCAACGGGGGCGCCA
rnacentral:tRNA from 1 species